ensembl:misc_RNA 7SK 7SK RNA
GGAUGUAGGGCAAUCUGGCUAUGACUCCUGUCAUCCCCUACUGAUUGCCAGGGUUGAUUCAGCUAAUCUGGCUGGCUAGACUGGUGUCCCUUUCCUCCCUUACUGCUCCACAUGCAUCCCUCCUGAUGUGCUCUGUUGAAGAGGAGGACCUUUCCCAAUAGAGGAGGACCCUUCUUCUGUCAGGGUUAUAUGAGUAGCUGCAUUCCCCUGCUAGAACCUCCAAACAAAGUUUCAAGGUCCAUUUUUAGGAGAACCUAGGGUAGUCAAAAUUCCAAGACUCCAGACACAUCCAAAUGAGGUGCUGCAUGUGGCAAUUUGCCUUUCUUU